rnacentral:ncRNA from 2 species
AACAGUUCUCGGGGCGGGGUGAGAGUCCCCACCGGCGGUAUCAGGGAGACCUGGAGCCCGCGAGCGCCUUGCUGAUGGUUUCAGCAAGGGUCAGCAGAUCCGGUGAGAAGCCGGAGCCGACGGUUAUGGCAACGUUUUGCGGCGAUGUCUGAAAGUCCGGAUGAGAGAGAACUUGG